rnacentral:rRNA from 1 species
AUUGAACGCUGGCGGCAGGCCUAACACAUGCAAGUCGAGCGGAUGAAGGGAGCUUGCUCCUGGAUUCAGCGGCGGACGGGUGAGUAAUGCCUAGGAAUCUGCCUGGUAGUGGGGGAUAACGUCCGGAAACGGGCGCUAAUACCGCAUACGUCCUGAGGGAGAAAGUGGGGGAUCUUCGGACCUCACGCUAUCAGAUGAGCCUAGGUCGGAUUAGCUAGUUGGUGGGGUAAAGGCCUACCAAGGCGACGAUCCGUAACUGGUCUGAGAGGAUGAUCAGUCACACUGGAACUGAGACACGGUCCAGACUCCUACGGGAGGCAGCAGUGGGGAAUAUUGGACAAUGGGCGAAAGCCUGAUCCAGCCAUGCCGCGUGUGUGAAGAAGGUCUUCGGAUUGUAAGGCACUUUAAGUUGGGAGGAGGGGCAGUAAGUUAAUACCUUGCUGUUUUGACGUUACCAACAGAAUAGGCACCGGCUAACUUCGUG